AGGGAAUAUUGGACAAUGGGCGCAAGCCUGAUCCAGUCAUGCCGCGUGAGUGAAGAAGGCCCUCGGGUUGUAAAGCUCUUUUGUUGGGGAAGAAAAGCAUUCGGCUAAUACCCGGGUGUCCUGACGGUACCCAAAGAAUAAGCACCGGCUAACUUCGUGCCAGCAGCCGCGGUAAUACGAAGGGUGCAAGCGUUACUCGGAAUUACUGGGCGUAAAGCGUGCGUAGGUGGUUCGUUAAGCCUGAUGUGAAAGCCCUGGGCUCAACCUGGGAAUGGCAUUGGAUACUGGCGGGCUAGAGUGCGGUAGAGGGUAGUGGAAUUCCCGGUGUAGCAGUGAAAUGCGUAGAGAUCGGGAGGAACAUCCGUGGCGAAGGCGACUACCUGGACCAGCACUGACACUGAGGCACGAAAGCGUGGGGAGCAAACAGGAUUAGAUACCCUGGUAGUCCACGCCCUAAACGAUGCGAACUGGAUGUUGGGCUCAACUUGGAGCUCAGUAUCGAAGCUAACGCGUUAAGUUCGCCGCCUGGGGAGUACGGUCGCAAGACUGAA
rnacentral:rRNA from 1 species